GAUGAAGAACGCAGCGAAAUGCGAUACGUAAUGUGAAUUGCAGAAUUCAGUGAAUCAUCGAGUCUUUGAACGCACAUUGCGCCCCUUGGUAUCCCGAGGGGCAUGCCUGUUCGAGCGUCAUUUCACCACUCAAGCCUGGCUUGGUGUUGGGCGACGUCCUCUUUGGGGACGCGCCUCGAAACGCUCGGCGGCGUGGCACCGGCUUUAAGCGUAGCAGAAUCUUUCGCUUUGGAAGUCGGGGCCCCGUCUGCCGGAAGACCUGCUCGCAAGGUUGACCUCGGAUCAGGCAGGGAUACCCGCUGAACUUAAGCAUAUCAAUAGCGGAGGA
rnacentral:misc_RNA from 1 species